GAGAAGAUGAGGAAAAAUAAAGAUGUCGUUGUCUCGCGAGAUAACCGCCUCAUAUGCUACAUUUUAGUACCAUGAUACGAUUGCUUCACCAUCGUAUGAGUUGGGUUGCCAUGCAACUCAAAAUAUUUCUUUUUUCUCUAUGCACAAAUUAAGGAAAUAGAAUUACUAUGAGAAAAUUAAAAAAGAUAACUCGUUGUACAAAUUAUUUGUUAAUUCGUCUCAAAAUUACGUGUCAAUACAUAAGAUCAUCUAUUAGACAAC
rnacentral:lncRNA from 1 species